rnacentral:rRNA from 1 species
UUAAAUGGCUGCAGUAAUUUGACUGUACAAAGGUAGCAUAAUCAAUAGUUUUUUAAUUGAAAGCUGGAAUGAAUGGUUGGACGAGAUAAAAUCUGUCUUUAUUUAAUUUAUAAUAAAAUUUAAUUUUUAAGUUAAAAAGCUUAAAUUUUUAUAAAAGACGAGAAGACCCUAUAGAGUUUUAUAUUUAAUAGAUUAUAUUUAAUAUAGAUUUUUUUAUUAUAUAUUUUAUAAAAUAUUUUAUUGGGGUAAUAUAAAGAUUAAAUUAAUUCUUUAAAUUUUUUAUAUUUAUAAAUAUUUUAUAUGAUCCAUUAAUAUUGAUUAAAAGAUUAAAUUACCUUAGGGAUAACAGCGUAAUUUUUUUAGAGAGUUCAUAUUGAUAAAAAAGUUUGCGACCUCGAUGUUGGAUUAAAGAUUAAUUUAGGUGCAAAAGUUUAAAUGUUUGGUCUGUUCGACCAUUAAAUCUUUACAUGAUCUGAGUUCAGACCGGCGUGAGCCAGGUCGGUUUCUAUCUUUAUUAAAUUAAAAUAUUUUAGUACGAAAGGACCAAAUAUUAAUUAAAUUAGUUAUUUAUUUGAAUAUUAUU